rnacentral:rRNA from 1 species
AAAACUAGCCAGUCUUUUGGGUAUGUAACCCAUUUGGGCGAGAGUAGUAAUAGGAUGGGUGACCUCCUGGGAAGUCCUCGUGAAAGGGUUUC